ensembl:lncRNA IER5L-AS1 IER5L antisense RNA 1
AGGGGACCUCGCCUGCAUCCAUUCGCCUAUCCAUCCUACAGCAGCGACUGCACCCCUGAUUGUGAUGACGAAUGCACCCCCAUCCUUGGGCUCCGUGCCCACUGCUGGGCUGGGCUGCUCCCUCAGGUGCGGCAGCCAGAGGAGCCUGCCCAGCCAGGAUAUGCGGCAGGAGGUUCAUUUUUGAAAGUAUAAGAAGGGCCGCCGGGAAUGAGUGUCUCACGGGGACAGAGUGUGCGUUUGGGAAGAUGAGACGGUUGUGGAGAUGGAUGGUGGGGAUGGUUACACAACAACGUGAAUAUGCUUAAAGCCACGUUCACGGAACACGUACAAAUGACUAAAAUGGUAACUUUCUGGUAUGGAUAUUUUACCACAAUAAAAAAAAAAUGCUAAAAAAA